rnacentral:rRNA from 1 species
UGGCGGCGCGCUUAACACAUGCAAGUCGAACGAGAAAGCCCGCAAGGGUGAGUAAAGUGGCGUACGGGUGAGUAACACGUGGGUGAUCUACCUCUUGGUGGGGAAUAACCCUGGGAAACCGGGGCUAAUACCGCAUAAGACCGAAAGGUGAAAGGAGCAAUUCGCCGAGAGAGGAGCCCGCGGCUGAUUAGCUAGUUGGUAGGGUAAAGGCCUACCAAGGCGAAGAUCGGUAGCCGGCCUGAGAGGGCACACGGCCACACUGGCACUGAUACACGGGCCAGACUCCUACGGGAGGCAGCAGUGGGGAAUCUUGCACAAUGGGGGAAACCCUGAUGCAGCGACGCCGCGUGAGCGAUGAAGCCCUUCGGGGUGUAAAGCUCUUUCGGCAGGAACGAUAAUGACGGNCCUGCAACAAA